UCCCGGCGAUUACAGCCCCAUUCCAGAGGAUUCUCAGGCUGAAGAGAUGACAGUAGAGGAGGCUGAAACGACACAAGAGCUACAGUUCAGCAGUUUUACAGCAAAGGACUUUCGCCGGAUUAAGGUUUUAGGCAGAGGAAGCUUCGGCAAGGUUCUACUAGUAGAGUAUCUUCCACAAACAUCUAUUGCGCUAUUAAAGUGCUCAAGAAGGACA